rnacentral:rRNA from 1 species
UAACGCGUAGGUAACCUGCCUGGUAGGGGGGGGAUAACUAUUGGAAACGAUAGCUAAUACCGCAUAAUAACAGUUGUUGCAUGACAACUGUUUGAAAGGUGCAAUUGCAUCACUACCAGAUGGACCUGCGUUGUAUUAGCUAGUUGGUGGGGUAACGGCUCACCAAGGCGACGAUACAUAGCCGACCUGAGAGGGUGAUCGGCCACACUGGGACUGAGACACGGCCCAG